CCACUUUGUGGUUCAUGACUGGGGUGAAGUCGUAACAAGGUAGCGCUAGGGGAACCUGGCGCUGGAUCACCUCCUUACACGA
rnacentral:rRNA from 2 species